UACGAAGGGGGCUAGCGUUGCUCGGAAUCACUGGGCGUAAAGCGCACGUAGGCGGCUUCUUAAGUCAGGGGUGAAAUCCUGGAGCUCAACUCCAGAACUGCCUUUGAUACUGUGGAGCUUGGAGUCCGGGAGAGGUGAGUGGAACUGCGAGUGUAGAGGUGAAAUUCGUAGAUAUCUGGAGGAACACCGGUGGCGAAGGCGGCAUCCUGGACCACGACUGACGCUGAGUGAGCGAAAGCCAGGGGAGCAAACGGG
rnacentral:rRNA from 1 species